rnacentral:rRNA from 1 species
GAAUUCACUAGUGAUUCAGGCCUAACACAUGCAAGUCGAACGGCAGCACGGAGCUUGCUCUGGUGGCGAGUGGCGAACGGGUGAGUAAUAUAUCGGAACGUACCCUGGAGUGGGGGAUAACGUAGCGAAAGUUACGCUAAUGCCGCAUACGAUCUACGGAUGAAAGUGGGGGAUCGCAAGACCUCAUGCUCGUGGAGCGGCCGAUAUCUGAUUAGCUAGUUGGUAGGGUAAAAGCCUACCAAGGCAUCGAUCAGUAGCUGGUCUGAGAGGACGGCCAGCCACACUGGAACUGAGACACGGUCCAGACUCCUACGGGAGGCAGCAGUGGGGAAUUUUGGACAAUGGGCGAAAGCCUGAUCCAGCAAGGCCGCGUGAGUGAAGA